UCGGUCUCCACACCCCUAGUGAACGUGGUACUCUGGAUAAAGUUCUGGAUAGAGCUCGCUGUAGGGAGCGUGCGAAUCCUUUAUCAGCCAAGCAUAAUCGACUACAGCUCCGUCCUGUUAAGGAGAAAAUGUCGACAGUCGCUGCUACGCAAGUUGACCUGAAUCUGUCAAUCAACCAAUCCUACGAAGGAUACUCACGCUCCCUCAAUGCCGACCCUGACGACGUCCCCGACUUGCCUGCAGUCGCGACUGGUGUCUCUGUUGGAGCAGUACAUUGGUCUGUGGCCGUACAAGAUGAUCCAUGGGUGUUCGGCUCUUGCUCCUGGCUUGGUAGCUUCCUGGAACCAUUGAGGACGAAUAAACCGCAAAUCUCAAAAUGUUUACAAAAAGCUGCUUGAGAUGGUGACAGUGAUAACUCACAUUGGGAAUGAGCAGUACGGAUAGAUGGCGGAAAAUUAACUUAAACUAUAGCCGGUACGUACUUGUAUUUUUAAUGUUCCAUAGCCCCCUUAGUACCGUAGGGGGUUAGUCCACUGGUGCAUUGUAGGUAUUACUUAAGGUUCCUUGCAAUGUCCCUUUGGCCUCUAGCUGCAACCCCUUCCAUUCCUUUUAUUUUAACUGUUCACAUUAUCUCUCAUCUGUCAUACUUUCCACCUUCUAAUAUUUGUUUCAUAGUGAAACUGCGAGCUUUUCCUCAUGUUACCCCUUGAAAAAUGGCCUCAUAGGUCCCAGCACUUGGCCUAAGUUUUAUAUUUCAUUCCUAUAACACCAUUAGGUAUCUGCUUUUUGCAUCAUGAUUUCCCAGAGUAUAGGUCCUUUUAAUCUUAACAUAUUUUUGAGGCCACCUUUACAAAGCAUAUGAAUGAGGGGUUCUGCACAAUAGUUUGUAAGUAGGUGGCUUCCAUUUACUCAUACAAUACACUGUAUUAUGUUGCUUUUACAUAGUCAGUACAUGAGGGUGCUGUCUAAAAAAAUUUGUAUGUACGUCCCACAUCAACCUUUCUUUCUCUCUCCUUCCCACCUCAGAUUAGGAGAGUGGCUUAGCAACUGGGUGACAUUGUAGUAAUUCCAAUUAAAUGGACUACUGUAGUACAUAUCAGCUACAUUAUCGUUAUUAUUUUUUGCUGUGCUAUCAUUUAGGAUGUAGUAAUCUUUAGAUAACUCUCUUAAAUUGAAUAGUGUAAAGUAGAAGUUAAUGUACGUACUUUAGAAACUGGAAUUGCUGUUAGGUGCAAGAUAUCCAGAAAAUAUUCCAGUGAAGGCUAUAUAAUAUAGGGUCUCUGUUGCUUAACAGAAUUUUUUACUUACCAGAAAGCCAGACACCCAGAGAGUCUGUUAAGUUGAGAUGCUACUCGUGAAAGUCCUGGAUUUGUUGAUUAUUAACUAACAUUAUUUCACACGAAUGUUUGUACACUGGGCUGAUUAUAGAGCUGUGCUGUAUACAAUCAGUGAAGUAUGGAUAUCUCAUACAGUCUCAAAAUCCCAGCAUGCCUUUUGGUAAGGUAUUUAGUGGUGUUAACCUUCUUUCCUAUACAUAUCAAAUGACACAUUUUUACACAUUACACUUGUCAGCUAGGUCAAUUUUUGUCAUUGGGCCAAAGAUUUUGAUAAAAAUUCAUCCUUAUUAACUAACACCUUUUAAGACAUCUGACAGGAUAUAAAUUAUAUUCAAUACUUGAAAAUAAUCUUGUGAAGCUUUAUCAUGUAAAUCACAUAAAACCAAGCAUGUGAUAUAAUCAAUCAAAUCCAACAUCAGCAAAUGUCAAAUUCUGUUCAAGCAAAAUAAAUUCCCCAGUCUUACUAAUUCACUUGAUUUUGACCAGGCAAAGUAAUUUUGAUAUGCAUAAAUAUUCAUUAACAUACAAAUAAAAUAUGACAAUUCAAGAUAAAAUCUCCACCCAAAGACAACUUUUCCCAGAAAAUAAUCAAAGCAUUUGAAGUCAUGCAUAUUAUAUAAUACUUAUAGUACUUCAUUGGUGGUGACCCAGAUGAGAUGCUUUUAUGCCUGGUGCAAUUCGUAAGCUUUUGCCUGUCAGUGCCUUUUUUGUUAGUACAGGUGAGCACAAUAUGUCCAAGAACAUCCCCUUUUUUUCUUGCUUUGCUUUGUGAGGUAAUGGAAUGAAAGUACGACUUCUUUAAGGGGAACAUCACUUCUUAAUAGUGUGAAAGCCCACAAAGUCUAGCUAGGGCUAUCCCUUGCCGUAAUGAGAAACUUCUCAGUUUGCCAGGUAAUGAUGGCAGGUGUCUGACCAUUCCACCAGAGGAUCUUGCCCACAAAUCCCUGGAUACCGUCCCAUGGACCUCUUGUGGCUGCUCAGCAGGUUGUGGAAUCACCCAACUUUUUUCAAAUAAAGUGUUUCUUGCCUUAGCACUUUAGCUCAAUUAUAACCGUGGGGGCGUGAUUGCAGUUACUAGACUUGUUUCUUCCCUUCCUCCUUCAUGGUGCAGCAUUUAGGCUUUAAUAUGGUUUGAGACUGACUCUAGAUAAUUGAAACUACACUUUGGUGCCAUAUACUCGAGAUGCAUCUCCCACUAGCUCGUCCCUUUAACGAGGGAGGGGGCAAUAGUAGAGCUAUAGUAUUUCAUAUUGCAAUUUCAUAGUUCUCCCAUCCUUUCCUUACUUAAGUGUGGUUCUCUAUACCCAAACUCAGGCCCACAUUCCUAGUGCUAUGUUAUCUUUUUGCCAGACUGUGUAGGAAUUUACAGGAGUCACUGCAUCCCCUGCUCACAGUUGUGAUCAGGAUCAUGGCAUUUCAAAGUGGAAUUCAACUCCAGUUAGUAGUUAGAUAUGACUUUCUACCAUAUGUGCGAGUCUUCCAUGUGAAAGGGAAUGAUUUAUAUUUCUGUAAGAACAUAUAUCAAAUUUUAAAAUUAUUUGUAUUUUUCCCUGUAUAUAAACCAGAGCAUAAGAUGUCACUUCCCACUUCAACUGCCCUGCUUUGUCCCUAAGGCCAAAGAUAAAAAGGUGCUUAGUAACAGUAGGUGAUUGAGGGGUAUUCCCCCACUAACCCCUCAUAACCAGAGGUUAACAACCUUGUGAGCAAGUUUGACGCCCUCCCAUCUCCAUGUUGAAGAUACUCCUAUAUAAAAAGCUCUGGUUUGUAUACCUAAGAAAAAUACAAAUUACUUUUAA